UGUUCUGUGGCUAAGUCGGUUAAAGCGCCGGACUAGCGAUACAGCGUAGUUGGUUCGAAUCCCACCAAAACAA
rnacentral:tRNA from 1 species